rnacentral:rRNA from 1 species
UACGAAGGGGGCUAGCGUUGCUCGGAAUCACUGGGCGUAAAGCGCACGUAGGCGGAUUGCUAAGUCAGGGGUGAAAUCCUGGAGCUCAACUCCAGAACUGCCCUUGAUACUGGCGACCUCGAGUCCGGGAGAGGUGAGUGGAACUGCGAGUGUAGAGGUGAAAUUCGUAGAUAUUCGCAAGAACACCAGUGGCGAAGGCGGCUCACUGGCCCGGUACUGACGCUGAAGAACGAAAGCUAGGGGAGCAAACAGG